UACGUAGGGUGCAAGCGUUGUCCGGAAUUAUUGGGCGUAAAGAGCUCGUAGGCGGUUUGUCGCGUCGGCUGUGAAAACUCGGGGCUUAACCCCGAGCCUGCAGUCGAUACGGGCAGACUUGAGUUCGGCAGGGGAGACUGGAAUUCCUGGUGUAGCGGUGAAAUGCGCAGAUAUCAGGAGGAACACCGGUGGCGAAGGCGGGUCUCUGGGCCGAAACUGACGCUGAGGAGCGAAAGCGUGGGGAGCAAACAGG
rnacentral:rRNA from 1 species